rnacentral:misc_RNA from 1 species
CUGAGUUUUCCAAACCCUGCUCAAGGUUCGACAACAAUGUGGGCACCCAUGCAUACAGGGAAUACUUCUUCCCAAUCUACCAUGAUUCCCGCCUCUCAAUCAGCUAUGUACUGGAAUCAUUACUUGAAUUUUGUCAGGAAUCCUCUUGGGCCACCUGAAGUUAACCCAUUUCCUGAUUGCAUUCCACCAUCCAAUACCAGUACACCAUUGCAGGGUUCCAAUACUAUACCUUCCAUACCUGUGAAUUUGGACUCAGAUGCAGAACAUAGUGUUCAAGACAUCAAUAGUCCUGAAAAGAAUGCACCUCCUAUACAAAAACCCAAAAAGGCUAAGGAACAAAACUUUACUGGCCCUGAAGAUCUUCUACUUUGCACAACCUGGUUGCAAAUUAGCAGUGACCCUGUUGUGCACACUGGGCAACGUAGGGAGGGCCUUUGGGCUAGAAUUGAAAAAAGGUACAACAAACAGAGGGGGAACUUUCCUUGCCGAGUGAACAGAGCGCUUAGCAGCAGAUGGGACAAGAUAAGAGCAGAUGUAAGUAAGUUUGCUGGCUACUACGCAAGAGUUCUCAGAGAGAAACAAAGUGGAUUAACUGAUGACGACAAGACUUCGAAGGCGGCAACAUUAUUUGCACACGAGGAGAACAAAACUUUCCAGUACAUGCAUUGCUGGCACCAACUUAAGGGAGAACCGAAAUGGGAGAGCAUUUGUAGUGGACAAUCGUUCCGCGGAUUGAAUGCAAAUCCACUUGGGUCAACAGGUACUCCGUAUGCUCCGACAACUGAUAAAGAUAGUUCAUCUGCAGGGUUGACAGGAAAACGGCCGCGUGGUCGUGAUUUCAGUAAAUCUGAGAGAAACAAACCUGCAUCAUCUUCAUCUCCAGAGUACCUUAGCCGUUUGCAAGAAAUAACUGAAAAACAAAUUCAGAGGUCCAUAGAAAAGGGUGCAAAAAAAGAGAAGUGCACAGAAGAAGACAGGGAAAUGGAGAAAAAGAGGUUAGAAUUGGAAGCAGAAAAGGUCAUCAUACGAAAAAGGGAAUUGAAACUUCAAGAACUAGAAUCUGCUGAAAAAAGAUUACAAAGGCUGGAGGCAACGAAUGAAGAAGAUGUCCAACCACAAGUUUGGAUUAUGAUGCAAAAACAAAAACAGAAGUUGCAAGAAUUCAUAUUUGGUUACGAGUGAAAGAUAUAUUCGGUUACUCGUAACUUGAGGUUGUUUUACCGAACCUGUUUGUAUUAUUUGGUUAUGUGAGAACGUUACAUUUGUUUGGCAGACCAUUAUAUUUUUUGUUCGAACCAUAAGUCG